rnacentral:tRNA from 1 species
GGCUCGUUGGUCUAGGGGUAUGAUUCUCGCUUUGGGUGCGAGAGGUCCGGUUCAAAUCCCGACGAGCCC